rnacentral:rRNA from 1 species
UUAAGCGACUAAGCGUACACGGUGGAUGCCCUGGCAGUCAGAGGCGAUGAAGGACGUGCUAAUCUGCGAAAAGCGUCGGUAAGGUGAUAUGAACCGUUACAGCCGGCGAUGUCCGAAUGGGGAAACCCAGUGCAAUUCGUUGCACUAUCGUUAACUGAAUACAUAGGUUAACGAGGCGAACCGGGGGAACUGAAACAUCUAAGUACCCCGAGGAAAAGAAAUCAACCGAGAUUCCCCCAGUAGCGGCGAGCGAACGGGGAGCAGCCCAGAGUCUGAAUCAGCUUGUGUGUUAGUGGAACGGUCUGGAAAGUCCGACGGUACAGGGUGAUAGUCCCGUACACCAAAAUGCACAGGCUGUGAACUCGAAGAGUAGGGCGGGACACGUGGUAUCCUGUCUGAAUAUGGGGGGACCAUCCUCCAAGGCUAAAUACUCCUGACUGACCGAUAGUGAACCAGUACCGUGAGGGAAAGGCGAAAAGAACCCCGGCGAGGGGAGUGAAAAAGAACCUGAAACCGUGUACGUACAAGCAGUGGGAGCACCUUUAUGGUGUGACUGCGUACCUUUUGUAUAAUGGGUCAGCGACUUAUAUUCUGUAGCAAGGUUAACCGUAUAGGGGAGCCGCAGGGAAACCGAGUCUUAACUGGGCGUUAAGUUGCAGGGUAUAGACCCGAAACCCGGUGAUCUAGCCAUGGGCAGGUUGAAGGUUGGGUAACACUAACUGGAGGACCGAACCGACUAAUGUUGAAAAAUUAGCGGAUGACUUGUGGCUGGGGGUGAAAGGCCAAUCAAACCGGGAGAUAGCUGGUUCUCCCCGAAAGCUAUUUAGGUAGCGCCUCGUGAACUCAUCUUCGGGGGUAGAGCACUGUUUCGGCUAGGGGGUCAUCCCGACUUACCAACCCGAUGCAAACUACGAAUACCGAAGAAUGUUAUCACGGGAGACACACGGCGGGUGCUAACGUCCGUCGUGAAGAGGGAAACAACCCAGACCGCCAGCUAAGGUCCCAAAGUCAUGGUUAAGUGGGAAACGAUGUGGGAAGGCACAGACAGCCAGGAUGUUGGCUUAGAAGCAGCCAUCAUUUAAAGAAAGCGUAAUAGCUCACUGGUCGAGUCGGCCUGCGCGGAAGAUGUAACGGGGCUAAACCAUGCACCGAAGCUGCGGCAGCGACACUAUGUGUUGUUGGGUAGGGGAGCGUUCUGUAAGCCUGCGAAGGUGACCUGUGAGGGUUGCUGGAGGUAUCAGAAGUGCGAAUGCUGACAUAAGUAACGAUAAAGCGGGUGAAAAGCCCGCUCGCCGGAAGACCAAGGGUUCCUGUCCAACGUUAAUCGGGGCAGGGUGAGUCGACCCCUAAGGCGAGGCCGAAAGGCGUAGUCGAUGGGAAACAGGUUAAUAUUCCUGUACUUGGUGUUACUGCGAAGGGGGGACGGAGAAGGCUAUGUUAGCCGGGCGACGGUUGUCCCGGUUUAAGCAUGUAGGCUGGUUGUCCAGGCAAAUCCGGAUAAUCAAGGCUGAGGUGUGAUGACGAGGCACUACGGUGCUGAAGUAACAAAUGCCCUGCUUCCAGGAAAAGCCUCUAAGCAUCAGGUAACAUUAAAUCGUACCCCAAACCGACACAGGUGGUCAGGUAGAGAAUACCAAGGCGCUUGAGAGAACUCGGGUGAAGGAACUAGGCAAAAUGGUGCCGUAACUUCGGGAGAAGGCACGCUGGUGUGUAGGUGAAGUCCCUGCGGAUGGAGCUGAGACCAGUCGAAGAUACCAGCUGGCUGCAACUGUUUAUUAAAAACACAGCACUGUGCAAACACGAAAGUGGACGUAUACGGUGUGACGCCUGCCCGGUGCCGGAAGGUUAAUUGAUGGGGUUAUCCGUAAGGAGAAGCUCUUGAUCGAAGCCCCGGUAAACGGCGGCCGUAACUAUAACGGUCCUAAGGUAGCGAAAUUCCUUGUCGGGUAAGUUCCGACCUGCACGAAUGGCGUAAUGAUGGCCAGGCUGUCUCCACCCGAGACUCAGUGAAAUUGAACUCGCUGUGAAGAUGCAGUGUACCCGCGGCAAGACGGAAAGACCCCGUGAACCUUUACUAUAGCUUGACACUGAACAUUGAGCCUUGAUGUGUAGGAUAGGUGGGAGGCUUUGAAGCGUGGACGCCAGUCUGCGUGGAGCCAACCUUGAAAUACCACCCUUUAAUGUUUGAUGUUCUAACGUUGGCCCCUUACCGGGGUUGCGGACAGUGUCUGGUGGGUAGUUUGACUGGGGCGGUCUCCUCCCAAAGCGUAACGGAGGAGCACGAAGGUUAGCUAAUCCUGGUCGGACAUCAGGAGGUUAGUGCAAUGGCAUAAGCUAGCUUGACUGCGAGCGUGACGGCGCGAGCAGGUGCGAAAGCAGGUCAUAGUGAUCCGGUGGUUCUGAAUGGAAGGGCCAUCGCUCAACGGAUAAAAGGUACUCCGGGGAUAACAGGCUGAUACCGCCCAAGAGUUCAUAUCGACGGCGGUGUUUGGCACCUCGAUGUCGGCUCAUCACAUCCUGGGGCUGAAGUAGGUCCCAAGGGUAUGGCUGUUCGCCAUUUAAAGUGGUACGCGAGCUGGGUUUAGAACGUCGUGAGACAGUUCGGUCCCUAUCUGCCGUGGGCGCUGGAGAAUUGAGGGGGGCUGCUCCUAGUACGAGAGGACCGGAGUGGACGCAUCACUGGUGUUCGGGUUGUCAUGCCAAUGGCACUGCCCGGUAGCUAAAUGCGGAAGAGAUAAGUGCUGAAAGCAUCUAAGCACGAAACUUGCCCCGAGAUGAGUUCUCCCUGAGACUUUAAGUCUCCUGAAGGAACGUUAAAGACGAUGACGUUGAUAGGCCGGGUGUGUAAGCGCAGCGAUGCGUUGAGCUAACCGGUACUAAUGAACCGUGAGGCUUAACCUU